UGGUAAUGAUGGCAGAGAGGUCACACCCGUUCCCAUCCGAACACGGAAGUUAAGCUCUCUAGCGCCGAUGGUAGUUGGGACCUUGUCCCUGUGAGAGUAGGACGUUGCCAGGCU
rnacentral:rRNA from 1 species